UAGGGAGGGUGCGAGCGUUAAUCGGAAUUACUGGGCGUAAAGGGCGCGUAGGCGGUGGGUUACGUCUGCCGUGAAAUCCCCGGGCUCAACCUGGGAAUGGCGGUGGAAACGGGCUGACUGGAGUAUGGGAGAGGGUGAUGGAAUUCCAGGUGUAGUGGUGAAAUGCGUAGAGAUCUGGAGGAACACCAGUGGCGAAGGCGGUCGCCUGGCCCAAUAAUGACGCUGAGGCGCGACAGCGUGGGGAGCAAACAGG
rnacentral:rRNA from 1 species